GCCUACAUGAAGUCGGAAUUGCUAGUAAUCGCGGAUCAGCAUGCCGCGGUGAAUACGUUCCCGGGCCUUGUACACACCGCCCGUCACACCAUGGGAGUCGGUAACACCCGAAGCCUGUAGUCUAACCGCAAGGGGGACGCAGUCGAAGGUGGGAUUGAUGACUGGGGUGAAGUCGUAACAAGGUAUC
rnacentral:rRNA from 1 species